rnacentral:rRNA from 1 species
GACGAACCGUGCGAACGUUGUUCGGAAUCACUGGGCUUAAAGGGCGCGUAGGCGGGCAACCAAGUCCGGGGUGAAAGCCUCCAGCUUAACUGGAGAAGUGCCUCGGAUACUGGUCGUCUUGAGGAGGGUAGGGGCAUCUGGAACUAGCGGUGGAGCGGUGAAAUGCGUUGAUAUCGCUAGGAACUCCGGUGGCGAAGGCGAGGUGCUGGACCCUUUCUGACGCUGAGGCGCGAAAGCCAGGGGAGCGAACGGG